GAGGCAAUAAGAAGCUUAGUUAGUUUUUCGGAAUCAAAUAUGGCUAGAUGUCAUGUGUAUGAUUGAGUAUAAGAACUAGAACCGCAACUAAUUCCCAAAAGCUAAAUUAAUGUUUCCUUGUUAGAAGAUACAAAGCUAAAAACUCAUACGGACUUCGGCUAAGCCAUCAAAAUUUUGAGAAGCAAUAAGAAGCUUGGUUAGUGUUUUGGAGUCAAAUAUGACUAGAUGUCAUGUGUAUGAUUGAGUAUAAGAACUAGAACCGCAACCGUUUCCCAAAAGCUAAAGUAGUGUUUCCUUGUUAGAAGCUACAAAGCCAAAGACUCAUACGGACUUCGGCUACACCAUCAAAGUUUUGAGAAGCAAUAAGAAGCUUGGUUAGUAUUUUGGAGUCAAAUAAGACAAGAUGAUAUGUGUUUGAUUGAGUAUAAGAACUAUAACCGCAACAUCUUCCCAAAAGCUAAAGUUGUGUUUCCCUUCUAGAAGAUACAAAGCCAAAAACUCAUACGGACUUUGGCUACACCAUCAAAGCUUUAAGAAGCAACAAGAAGUUUGGUUAGUGUUUUGGAGUCAAAAAAGACUAUAUGUCAUGUGUAGUAUUGAGUAUAAAACCUAGAACCGCAACUGGUUCCCAAAAGCAAAAGUAGUGUUUCCUUGUUAGAAGAUACAAAGCCAAAGACUCAUACGGACUUCGGCUACACCAUGAAAAUUUUGAGAAGCAAUAAGAAGCUUGGUUAGUGUUUUGGAGUCAAAUAUGACUAGAUAUCAUGUGUAUCAUUGAGUAUAAGAAGUAGAACCGCAACCGAUUCCCAAAAGCUAAAGUAAUGUUUCUUGUUUGUAGAUACAAAGCCAAAGACUCAUACCGACUUCGGCUACACCAUCAAAGCUUUGUGAGGCAAUAAGAAGCUUGGUUAGUUUUUCGGAAUCAAAUAUGGCUAGAUGUCAUGUGUAUGAUUGAGUAUAAGAACUAGAACCGCAACUAAUUCCCAAAAGCUAAAUUAAUGUUUCCUUGUUAGAAGAUACAAAGCUAAAAACUCAUAUGGACUUCGGCUAAGCCAUUAAUGUUUUGAGAAGCAAUAAGAAGCUUGGUUAUUUUUUUGGAGUCAAAUAUGACUAGAUGUCAUGUGUAUGAUUGAGUAUAAGAACUAGAACCGCAACCGUUUCCCAAAAGCUAAGGUAGUGUUUCCUUGUUAGAAGUUACAAAGCCAAAGAAUCAUAUGGAAUUCAGCUACACCAUCAAAGCUUUGAGAAGCAAUAAGAAGCUUUGUUAGUUUUUUGGAGUCAAAUAUGACAAGAUGUUAUGUGUUUGAUUGAGUAUAAGAACUAGAACCGCAACAUCUUCCCAAAAGCUAAAGUUGUGUUUCCCUUCUAGAAGAUACAAAGCCAAAAACUCAUACGGACUUUGGCUACACCAUCAAAGCUUUAAGAAGCAACAAGAAGUUUCGUUAGUGUUUUGGAGUCAAAAAAGACUAUAUGUCAUGUGUAGUAUUGAGUAUUAAAACUAGAACCGCAACUGGUUCCCAAAAGCAAAUUUAGUGUUUCCUUGUUAGAAGAUACAAAGCCAAAGACACAUACGGACUUCGGCUACACCAUGAAAAUUUUGAGAAGCAAUAAGAAGCUUGGUUAGUGUUUUGGAGUCAAAUAUGACUAGAUGUCAUGUGUAUGAUUGAGUAUAAGAACUAGAAUGGCAACCGAUUCCCAAUAGCUAAAGUUAUGUUUCCUUGUUAGAAGAUACAAAGCCAAAGACUCAUACGGACUUCGUGUACACCAUCAAAAUUUUGAGAAUCAAUAAGAAGCUUGGUUAGUACUUUAGAGUGAAAUAUUACAGGAUAUCAUGUGUAUCAUUGAGUAUAAGAACUAGAACCGCAACCGAUUCCCAAAAGCUAAAGUAAUGUUUCUUGUUUGUAGAUACAAAGCCAAAGACUCAUACCGACUUCGGCUACACCAUCAAAGCUUUGUGAGGCAAUAAGAAGCUUGGUUAGUUUUUCGGAAUCAAAUAUGGCUAGAUGUCAUGUGUAUGAUUGAGUAUAAGAACUAGAACCGCAACUAAUUCCCAAAAGCUAAAUUAAUGUUUCCUUGUUAGAAGAUACAAAGCUAAAAACUCAUACGGACUUCGGCUAAGCCAAUAAUGUUUUGAGAAGCAAUAAGAAGUUUGGUUAUUUUUUUGGAGUCAAAUAUGACUAAAUGUCAUGUGUAUGAUUGAGUAUAAGAACUAGAACCGCAAUCGUUUCCCAAAAGCUAAAGUAGUGUUUCCUUGUUAGAAGUUACAAAGCCAAAGAAUCAUAUGGAAUUCAGCUACACCAUCAAAGCUUUGAGAAGCAAUAAGAAGCUUUGUUAGUUUUUUGGAGUCAAAUAUGACUAGAUGUCAUGUGGAUGAUUAAGUAUAAGAACUAGAACCGCAACCGGUUCCCGAAAGCUAAAGUAAUGUUUCCUUGUUAGAAGAUU
rnacentral:sRNA from 1 species